UACGAAGGGGGCUAGCGUUGCUCGGAAUCACUGGGCGUAAAGCGCACGUAGGCGGAUUGUUAAGUCAGGGGUGAAAUCCUGGAGCUCAACUCCAGAACUGCCUUUGAUACUGGCGAUCUUGAGUCCGGGAGAGGUGAGUGGAACUGCGAGUGUAGAGGUGAAAUUCGUAGAUAUUCGCAAGAACACCAGUGGCGAAGGCGGCUCACUGGCCCGGUACUGACGCUGAGGUGCGAAAGCGUGGGGAGC
rnacentral:rRNA from 1 species